UACAGCCUUACUACCCUGAAUGCACCUGAUCUAAAAGCUAAGCAGGGUUGGGCCUGGUUAGUGCUUGGAUGAGAGGAAGUUCACUGAGCUAAGCUGUAC
rnacentral:rRNA from 1 species